rnacentral:rRNA from 1 species
CGGCGGACGGGUGAGUAAUGCCUAGGAAUCUGCCUGGUAGUGGGGACAACGUUUCGAAAGGAACGCUAAUACCGCAUACGUCCUACGGGAGAAAGCAGGGACCUUCGGGCCUUGCGCUAUCAGAUGAGCCUAGGUCGGAUUAGCUAGUUGGUGAGGUAAUGGCUCACCAAGGCGACGAUCCGUAACUGGUCUGAGAGGAUGAUCAGUCACACUGGAACUGAGACACGGUCCAGACUCCUACGGGAGGCAGCAGAC